rnacentral:rRNA from 1 species
GUCCACGCUGUAAACGAUGAGUGCUAGGUGUUGGGGGUCGAACCUCAGUGCCGCAGCUAACGCAUUAAGCACUCCGCCUGGGGAGUACGUACGCAAGUAUGAAACUCAAAGGAAUUGACGGGGACCCGCACAAGUAGCGGAGCAUGUGGUUUAAUUCGAAGCAACGCGAAGAACCUUACCAACAUUUGACAUCCCUCUGACCGGACUAGAGAUAGUCCUUCUCUUAGGAGCAGAGGUGACAGGUGGUGCAUGGUUGUCGU